ensembl:lncRNA
CUGUGUGCCCCUUCGGUCCAAAACUGCCCGCACCUAUAUAGCGACCCCUACCCUAGACGGGGGUGGGGGUGUGGGGUGUGGGGUNGGGGGGGUCGUGGUGACCGGGUUGUGGACGGCCGGCGGGACCGGGGUUACGGGGGACGGAGGUGCGGGACGCGGAAGAGGCCCGGUGCGCUCCUCCGACGCCCUAGGACCCUCGAACCUCCUAGUCCGGGCCCGGCUUCCCCGCCGACAGGUGCGUUCCCUUCCCCCGGCUCUCUCUCCUUUCCUCCGUCAGCGCGACGUCCCGUCGGGGUUCGACCCGAGGGCUGACGGGCCGCAGGCCCGGCGGGCGGCGCGUGGAGGAAUCACCAAGGGGAGAGGGUCCUCGUGUGGGGACGGGUGCUCGCCACGUCGACGGACCGAACGGACCGCGGCCCGACCCUCGGAACACACCGGCCAGCAGCAGCGCGGUAUAGCCUACAAAAUUUGGUAUAUAAGUCGCUUUGGUAUUUAAGUCGCAGGACCAGCCAGACUAUGAAAAAAAGUGCGAUUUAUAAUCUGGAAAAUAUGGUAAUUGUUAAUCACUUGUAUGGGUUAGGGUUAAAGUUACGAUUAGUAGGGUCGGGGCUUUGGGGGUCAAUGGCCACCAUUUAGAACUGAUACAGAAAUGAUUAAAAAGAAAAUGUUUUAUUUUCACUAAUUACUGCUUUCUCAUCUGAGAAUGUUCAAUAUUUUAAGACAUUUUAUCCGAACCAAAGGACAGUCGGCUUCACUGAUUUAUGGGCUGCAUCUUAGGAACAUUACAAGGAGUGAGUCUGUAGCUUUCUGGUGCCAAAGCAGUAAAGGAGUGAACUCAGUACCAACCUCAAAGAAGAACAGAAUCCCUGAUGAAGAUGCUCCUUCUCACUUUGGGCUCAUCUGACUGUGGAUGUGUGAACGAUCUGUUUCCAACUGCAUGCUUUUUAAAGAUGCAUUUCAUAUAUUUUGGAGACCAGCAGAAGCUGAUGUCUACAUAGAUUAAAUAAAAUUGAUGUUUCGACCAGCUUUUGUAAAGUACUGCUCAAACAUUAGUUAUUGUAAUCAUGCUCAUCAUUUCAAUAAUGAACUGAGAGUAAAAAGGAUGUUUUUUCUGCCUGAUAAGCUUUGUGGUUGACAUAGUGUGUACAAUAUUGUGUUGACUGACCUGUGUUUAAACUAAAGUCUAAACUAAAUCAAGGAUAGAAUUUAACUUUUAAUUUCUAAAUUUUCUACAAGAAAACACAUUUAAACCAUGUCACUGUGACAAUGUUGGUGCAUGUUGAAUGUUUUUUUCAUCAUUUGCUGUAAAAAUAAAAUACAACUUAUGAUAAAUGGGUCACAGAAUUUGGCCAAUCAAAUGUACGCGCUUCAAAGGAAGUUUUUAUUUUAUUCAUACAUUUAAUGUACUUAAUUUUUUUCAAAAGAUGGCUCUAUUUAUAUAUAAAUAUAAAAAAAAAUCCACUUCAAUAAUUGUUAAUUAUUGUAAACAUGUUGUUAUGUAAAUUUUAAGGAGGUGGAUAUCAUUGGUCUACCAUUAAUAUUGGCCUAAAUCUACAUUAAAAUGUAAUAUUGGAAAGUACCCGUAUCUGGCCUUUAAAUGACCCAACUUUUACAUGCCAUACACAUAAAUAUACACUGCUCAAAAAAUAAAGGGUACACAAAAAUAAGAUGUCCUAGAUCUGAAUGAAUGAAAUAUUCUUAUUGAAGGCUUUGUUCUUUAUAGUUGAAUGUGCUGACAACAGAAUCACACAAAAAUAUCAGUGGAAAUCAAAUUGAUCAACCCGUUGAGGUCUGGAUUUGGAGUUACACUCAAAAUGAAAGUGUAAAAAUACACUACAGUCGGAUCCCACUGUGAUGCAAUGUCCUCUAAACAAGUCAGAAUGAGGCUCAGACGUAUGUGUGGCCUCCACAUUCCUGUCUGACCUCCCCACAACAUCUGGGCAUGCUCCUGAUGAGGUGGUGGAGGGUCCUCCCAGACCUGGACUGAAGCAUCCACCAUCUCCCGGACAGUCUGCAGUGCAAUGUGGCUUUGGUGGAUGGAGCGAGACAUGGUGUCACACUAACAGUGAUUUCUGCAAUAACUAUUAAGUUAUUUAUGUUAAGCAGCUCCAUGAUCAUCGCAGAAAAUAUUUAACUAUAAAUAAUAAUAAAAUAAAGAAUAAAUGAAAUCAGUACUAAAGAAGUAAUUGAUAAUCAAGUCAGGUGAAUAACAACCAGGGGUGGAGCCAGGGCCUCCAGGCAGGUUAUUUGUUUGCUCGAUUGAAAUCACGAUUGUAAUAAUUGUGAUCUGUGUGCCAAAUUAACAAAAAAAAAAAAAAAAAAAGUAUACAAAUUUCAGGCUGGGAUGUAAGUCAUGAGCUUUGAAACAAGGAAAAACAAGGUUACUUACACGCACAACUGAAAACAGUAAUCUCCUCAUGGGGGCCAGGUUCAGCCUCAGAGAGAGUGAGGAGUUCGGAGCUCCAGGAAGGGUCGCUGUUUCUCCUGGCAGGUGUCAGUUAAGGUGUAGUCAUGAUGCCUCAUCGUAGAAAGGAGUUUUAGACAUGGCCUGCUGGUAGGACACCCUGGCCAACCCAGCACCCAAACAGAAGGACUUACCCAGGCAGACCUGGAAUGCCUGGAUGAACUGGUGAGGAUGGCUGAGGAGGAAAGUCGGUGUCUUACUGGUAGAGAUGCUGCCCCGUGACCCGGGCCUGGACCCGACCCGGGUGAGCAGAAGAAGAACAAGUUAAUUUGUAGAUUUCAUGUAAUAUGUGUUUAUGGUUUUCAGAAUUUUUAAUUUGAUGUUCUGUCUCCCACCAUUAAAGUAGAUAUUAUCAUAAAAUUUGAGACGGUUCAUUUCUGUAACUGAGCACACUUUUAAAAUCAGCAGGGGACCAAGCAAUUAUUUCCCCUGCUGUAGUCAUGAUUAGUCAGUGUCUUAUAUGAGAAGAACGUCUGGAGCGUCCUCUGGUGCCUUACACAUCAUUUAUUAUGAGGAAACUAAACUAACAGAUUCCUAUAAUUAGGUCAAGACAAGUACAACAUGGACCGUCCACAUAGAAAUACAAGUUUUGGUUCUCUAAACAACAAGCAAGAGAUCAUUUUUGUGUCAUUUUAGUAGACCUUUAGGUAUCAGAUGUUUGUGUAUGAUCUUCUUUCUCUUCUUUUGCAUGAUUUAAUUUAUUGUUACCCAACAUAGGGACCAAUAAAAAGCAUUACUGAAGCUUAAAUAUCAGGACUGAUUUGUUUCAGACAAAAAUAGGUCAGAUCGACUGCGAGUAAAUCAGACUAUAAGUGGCUUCUGUCUGAACGUUUUACUGCAAUUUGCCUUGUUUGCUGCAUGUGCAGAGAGUAGAAACAGCACAAUGACACAGUUACGCAAGCAUCUUGCCACCUGUGCAAAAUAAGGUAAACAUGCCACGUGUAACGUCAUUGUGAUAGAUGAUAAUUAACAUGUAUGGUGUGGUGUAACAUCUGUGACCUCUGCAGCAGAUCCAGAUGAAAACACGAUUUUUACUGUAGAAAUCCAUGAAUUAUUCGUCAGAAAUGAAAGGUGUGAGAGCCUGCCGAUGCUAUAAUUUGCUGUAAUUAGGACAGCUUAUGUAUCACAGCCUAAUGAGGACGUUUAGUCUCAACAGGCUGGGAGAAGCUUUUAAUAACUUUUAAAAUAAAUCACAUUUAAAAAGCUGUGUUUGAUCAUCACAGUGGUUGGGAGCUGCUCCCACAUGCACACAUUAAUCAGUCCAUAUGAGCAGAUUUAUGGAGAAUACUCAUAUACAGCCUUGCAGCUGUUUAUUUCUGGAGACUUGACUUAAAACGUGAAAAGCUGGCAGAAUUUAGCAAUCUUUCAUGGAUUUUAUCAAUAUGUUUAUCAAUAACCCAUUUCCUAUAGUGAAGAGAGAAGGAGACGAUGAGAAGACAAGUCAAACUGUUAUAACUGUGGUAUAAUGCACGAGGCAAAAUGCCCUGAACAUCUGUACACAGACUUUAUUUAUAGAGAAAUGGGAGUGAGAGAGAUUGUGUGUGUGUGUGUGUGUGUGUGUGUGGGAAGUCAA